rnacentral:lncRNA from 1 species
AAAAACCGAAUUAUUUUUAAAAUUUUAUUUAAAUAGACACGUGUUAAAUUUUAAUUGGUUGAGUAACAUAACUAAAAUAGGCAUGCACACACACGAUUAUGGUAUAUAUAUAUGUGUUACAAUUUCUGCACCCAAAACAAACCUAAAAAAUUUCUGCACCCAAAACAAACCUAAAACUAAAAUAAAAAACGAAAUCAACUCGCCAACCAAAUCACCGUGAGACAGCUUCACCUCGCCAGCCAAAUCACCGUGAGACAGCUUCACCUCGCCAGCCAAAUCACCGUGAGACAGCUUCACCUCGCCAGCCAAAUCACCAUGAGAAAGCUUCAACUCACCAGCCACCGCGCAACCGGAAAAGCUUUGCUCACCAGCCACCGCGCAUCAUCUUCUGAUCUGCUCGCCGGCCACCGUCCGACAGCUUCUGAUCUGCUCGCCAGCCACCACGCGACGGCUUCUGAUCUGCUCGCGCAGCCAGCCACCGUGCACCAGUAGGAGUAAAGUCCUCGUUACUCCAUACACUUUAUUAUAACAUUUGCAUAAAUUGCAUUUAGUAAUGCAUUUAGUAAGUCCCCGUUAAAUGACUGUUAUUGCUUUAAUUUUUUAUAUAAUUUUUUUAAGUGAAAACACUUUUACAACAUGAUUAGAAUUAAAUAUUUUCAGAAAUCCAAAUCUAAUCCACUAGGAAAGAUAAUAACAAUUACGAAUAUUAAGUUCCAUAAUAUGGCCAUAUUUAGAUUUUAUUUUGAUAUUAUGAUUGUUAUAAUUUUGUAAGAUGGAGGACAAUGUUGGCGAAGUACAAAAGGCUAAUAAUGAAGUGCAAAUGACAGUUGAUUGAUGUUGCUG